GGCUUGUUUCUGGACCUUCCUGGGCUGCCGCUUUUCCGGUGGUUUGCCCGAGUUUGGUAUCCUAGAUCCUCUUCUUUCGGGAGGACUGGCUGUUGUAAAUCCGUUCGGCCUAUUUAUGUUUUUGAUCCCUCCGGGACGAAAACUGUUAGCAGGGGAUGCGGUUAGUCUCUUUGCUCCCUCCGUGAACAAAGGCGAUACACGCCCGGCAAAGGUCGCUACGGCGACACGGAUGCCUAACAAUCAAAAAUAUCCCCUAAAUGCUAUCGGCAUAUUAUAUUCCAUACAGCUUUGUUUCCCCUUAACAAAUGGGGAAGCAACGAAAAUCCUCUCGUACAGGGGUCGCAUGCAGGCAGGUACGACCCUGCCCUGCAGCCCGCGCAAGGGCUUUUACCCGGCACCAUAUUAGCCAAUUAAAUUAGCCAUUUGAAAUAUAAUAUAUGCAUACGAUCGUUUUCUAUGCUGUUGCAGAAAUAUAAACAUAGCAAUAUUGUGCAAAUGCGCCUUAGUUAGGCUGAUCGACAGCUAGGUCUCAAAAUCAGACAGACCGAAAUUUAACCAACCUAAGGGGCCUACAGAUAAAAUUAUAGCUGCAGGAAUGCUUUCGGGCUGGACUGGCCCACCUCAGCCACGCACAUCUUACCAGGAAGCUCAACCAAUUACUUCCUAUCUAGCAUGUCGUGCAAGGGGUAAAGCCGUCACCAAACAGGGGACUAUUAUGACGGGCGGAGGGGUCCCCGGCCGCUGCGCGCCUCUCAUAAUAAAAAAAGGGAAAGCGCCUCUUACUGGUCACGUCGCACGAGUUUUUGUUUUCGAAUAGCGGAUCUUUCCCGUUUAUUAUUGGUAAAAUUCGGCUGAAUAUAAAGCUACAUAUUGAUAGCAUAUAAGAGGCAU
rnacentral:lncRNA from 1 species